rnacentral:rRNA from 1 species
UACGGAGGGUGCGAGCGUUGUCCGGAAUCACUGGGCGUAAAGGGCGCGUAGGCGGCCUGAUAAGUAGGGGGUGAAAUCCUGCGGCUUAACCGCAGGGCUGCCUUCUAAACUGUCAGGCUGGAGCACAGUAGAGGCAGGUGGAAUUCCCGGUGUAGCGGUGGAAUGCGUAGAGAUGUGGAGGAAUACCGAUGGCGAAGGCAGCCCCCUGGGAUAACACUGACGCUCAUGCACGAAAGCGUGGGGAGCAAACAGG